GUACAGGCAACAAAGGAGAGCACAGGAACCAAUACAUUUAAGAUCCUUACCAAAGGGGUUGUAUUGGUCCUUUGUUGUUUUUCAGCUCAGUGAUAGG